AAUAAACUGUAUCCCACAUUCUUUAUAACUUCCACUGAGUCCAUCAGCACAUCUAAUACUGAAUCCUUCCAUUGAAUUCCCAGCCACUAUACUAAUGGACAAUGUAGAUAUGGUUGGAUUCCAACCGACUAGUGUCGUUUGUAUCGAUCCAAUAUUGUAAGUUUCUCCUAAGUCAGAGUUAAUGGAGUAAGACUUUAUGUGGGCCCCAUUCCUCAACCAGACAAUGACAUUACUCGAUACUUGACAAGUUGCUGUUAAAUUAGUACUGGAACAAAGCUGGGGCCCUGGACAAUCCAAAGAAACACCAGCUGCAAAAGUGAAUCACAAAUUAAUAAGAUCAUACAUCAACUUGAUAAGCUAACCUGAGGUUGAUAGAAAUUGUAGUAGUGUCAAAAAGAGAAAAUACAACUCCAUAGUAUAAUAUGUUGACAAUUAAAGGUUAAAAUAACUUCCAUUCCAUUGACUAUUCUGAGCUAAAUAAAUUAUGAAAAAUGCUGCCUGCUCCAGGUUUAAAUCUAAUGCUAGAUUUAGAUGAGAAAUGAGAAUUAAGAAUUGGAUCACAAAUUUUAAGUACAGAGCAAAAAAGAAUGGGAGGGGCUCUUCAGCUGAAUUCACUUCCUGUCCUGCUAAUAUCUAUGCAAUAAGCUGUGUCUCUGUUUACAUACCAAAGGAAUGAAUACACAAUGAAUGGGUGGGUAUGUGACCAGGAAUCUGAUCUGUCCCUUAUGGAUAUGAAUAUACUGAAGUGAUUGUUUGUGCUUUAUGCUGAAGUGAUUAUUUGUGCUGUUUUCAAUUCAAUUCAAUUGUGUGGAGUGAUGAUGGCUUCAGCUCUGCUAUUAGGACUCAUACUAGUCUGCACUGGGUUGACAAGUGGUGAUGUGACUGGAUUUCAAUGUACUAAUGGAAGUGUGUAUGCUGGAGACAGAGUGGAGUGUAACUGUACAACUAAUACUGGAGCAAUAGACUGGAACAUCAGUUAUAGAGUACUAGGAUCCUGCAAUCAGAGCUGGAUACCUGUCACAGAAGUAAAAUUGCAUAGAUCUCGUAAUUCAGCUGAAAAAUAUGGAUACAACUUCACUUAUAAUAAGUCCAAUAAUAGCUCAAUGCUCACUUUUCAUUUGAAUGCAUCUGAAAGCAUUAAUGUUAUGUGUAAAAAUGGAAAUGUACAUGACAAUAGAACUACAAAUAUCACAGAUUCUGGUUGUUAUGCAAAAGCUCCAACAAACUUAACAGCAACCUUCAAUGCAAGUGGAGUUACUUUAGAAUGGGAGGACACUGAGAAUAACUGUACUUCUACUGAGUAUAAUGUAACUAUUUAUGAUAGUACAUCAACCGGUGUAUUGACCUAUUGUACUAACAA